GAGAAGUUUGAUUCUGGCUUAAAACUAUAUUUAUUAGGAUGUAAAAUUGUAUACAAAUGUUUAUGAAUAUAUAAAAAGUUUUCUAAAUGGGAUAUUAGGAAGUGUAAGUUGUAAUAUAAAGGAUUAUAAAUUGGGGAAGUCUUGAUUUAGUUAUUAUUAUUAAAUAUUGAUGAAUUAUGUGCCAGCAAUCGCGGUUAUACAUUGAAUAUAAAUAAAUAUUAUUAGUGUUAUAGAAUACAAGUAAGGAGUAGUUAAUAUGAAAAUUGUAAGGUGAAAUUUUAAUUUUAAUAUCAGUUAUUAAUAAGUGUGAUUUUAUAAAAUUAGAUAAGUUAAACUAGGAUUAGAUACCCUAUUAUUUCUAAUAUAAAUUUAUUUAUACUAAGGUAGUAUUAGUUAUGAUCUUGAAACCUAAAGAAUUUGGCGGUAUUUUAGUCUAUUUAGAGGAAUCUGUCCCAUAAUCGAUAAUCCACGUUGGACCUUACUUGCUAUCUAUUUGUAUACCGCCGUUGUUAAAAAUUUUUUAGAAUGUUUUUAUAAUACUAAGGGUUGGGUAAAAUUUCAGGUCAAGGUGCAGUUUAUUAGUAAGUGGAGGUGGAUUACAUUGUUAUUAAUAUUUGGAUAAUUUAUUGAAAUUGAUAAAUUUAAAAUAGGAUUUAAUAGUAAUAUUUUAAAGAUUAUUAAGAUGAAGGUAGCUCUAGAAUAUGUACACAUCGCCCGUCACUCUCGUAAUGAAGAUGAGAUAAGUCGUAACAUAGUAGGUGUACCGGAAGGUGUAGCUAGAAUGA
rnacentral:ncRNA from 1 species